rnacentral:rRNA from 1 species
UCUGGUUGAUCCUGCCAGUAGUCAUAUGCUUGUCUCAAAGAUUAAGCCAUGCAUGUCUAAGUAUAAGCAAUUUAUACAGUGAAACUGCGAAUGGCUCAUUAAAUCAGUUAUCGUUUAUUUGAUAGUUCCUUUACUACAUGGUAUAACUGUGGUAACUCUAGAGCUAAUACAUGCUUAAAAUCUCGACCCUUUGGAAGAGAUGUAUUUAUUAGAUAAAAAAUCAAUGUCUUCGGACUCUUUGAUGAUUCAUAAUAACUUUUCGAAUCGCAUGGCCUUGUGCUGGCGAUGGUUCAUUCAAAUUUCUGCCCUAUCAACUUUCGAUGGUAGGAUAGUGGCCUACCAUGGUUUCAACGGGUAACGGGGAAUAAGGGUUCGAUUCCGGAGAGGGAGCCUGAGAAACGGCUACCACAUCAAAGGAAGGCAGCAGGCGCGCAAAUUACCCAAUCCUAAUUCAGGGAGGUAGUGACAAUAAAUAACGAUACAGGGCCCAUUCGGGUCUUGUAAUUGGAAUGAGUACAAUGUAAAUACCUUAACGAGGAACAAUUGGAGGGCAAGUCUGGUA